rnacentral:rRNA from 1 species
UGCAAGUCGAGCGGAGCGAGGGUGCUUGCUCCUUAGCUUAGCGGCGGACGGGUGAGUAAUGCUUAGGAAUCUGCCUAUUAGUGGGGGACAACAUUCCGAAAGGAAUGCUAAUACCGCAUACGCCCUACGGGGGAAAGCAGGGGAUCUUCGGACCUUGCGCUAAUAGAUGAGCCUAAGUCAGAUUAGCUAGUUGGUGGGGUAAAGGCCUACCAAGGCGACGAUCUGUAGCGGGUCUGAGAGGAUGAUCCGCCACACUGGGACUGAGACACGGCCCAGACUCCUACGGGAGGCAGCAGUGGGGAAUAUUGGACAAUGGGCGCAAGCCUGAUCCAGCCAUGCCGCGUGUGUGAAGAAGGCCUUUUGGUUGUAAAGCACUUUAAGCGAGGAGGAGGCUACUUGGAUUAAUACUCUAGGAUAGUGGACGUUACUCGCAGAAUAAGCACCGGCUAACUCUGUGCCAGCAGCCGCGGUAAUACAGAGGGUGCGAGCGUUAAUCGGAUUUACUGGGCGUAAAGCGUGCGUAGGCGGCUUUUUAAGUCGGAUGUGAAAUCCCUGAGCUUAACUUAGGAAUUGCAUUCGAUACUGGGAAGCUAGAGUAUGGGAGAGGAUGGUAGAAUUCCAGGUGUAGCGGUGAAAUGCGUAGAGAUCUGGAGGAAUACCGAUGGCGAAGGCAGCCAUCUGGCCUAAUACUGACGCUGAGGUACGAAAGCAUGGGGAGCAAACAGGAUUAGAUACCCUGGUAGUCCAUGCCGUAAACGAUGUCUACUAGCCGUUGGGGCCUUUGAGGCUUUAGUGGCGCA